rnacentral:rRNA from 1 species
GAUGAACGCUGGCGGCGUGCCUAAUACAUGCAAGUCGAGCGAACAGACGAGGAGCUUGCUCCUCUGACGUUAGCGGCGGACGGGUGAGUAACACGUGGAUAACCUACCUAUAAGACUGGGAUAACUUCGGGACACCGGAGCUAAUACCGGAUAAUAUAUUGAACCGCAUUGUUCAAUAGUGAAAGACGGUUUUGCUGUCACUUAUAGAUGGAUCCGCGCCGCAUUAGCUAGUUGGUAAGGUAACGGCUUACCAAGGCGACGAUGCGUAGCCGACGUGAGAGAGUGGUCGGCGACACUGGAGCUGAGACACGGUCAAGACUCCUAAGGGAGGCAGCAGUAGGGAAUGUGACGCAAUGGGCGAAAGCCUGACGGAGCAACGGCGCGUGAGUGAUGAAGGUCUUCGGAUCGUAAAACUCGGUUAUGAGGGAAGAACAAAUGUGUAAGUAACUAUGCACGUCUUGACGGUACCUAAUCAGAAAGCCACGGCUAACUACGUG